UACGGAGGGUGCGAGCGUUGUUCGGAAUUACUGGGCGUAAAGGGUUCGUAGGUGGCCUGCUAAGUCACACGUGAAAUCCCUCAGCUUAACUGGGGAACUGCGUGUGAUACUGGCGAGCUUGAGUGCAGGAGAGGAACGCGGAAUUCCAGGUGUAGCGGUGAAAUGCGUAGAUAUCUGGAGGAACACCGGUGGCGAAGGCGGCGUUCUGGACUGCAACUGACACUGAUGAACGAAAGCCAGGGGAGCAAACGGG
rnacentral:rRNA from 1 species